ACGGGGGGUGCGAGCGUUGUCCGGAAUUACUGGGCGUAAAGCGUGCGCAGGCGGUUCGCUGUGUCCUGUGUGAAAGCCCCGGGCUCAACCUGGGAAUGGCAUGGGAAACUGGCGAGCUGGAGUGCGGCAGAGGGGGGUGGAAUUCCGCGUGUAGCAGUGAAAUGCGUAGAGAUCGGGAGGAACACCAGUGGCGAAGGCGGCUACCUGGACCAGCACUGA
rnacentral:rRNA from 1 species